rnacentral:rRNA from 1 species
GAUGAACGCUAGCGAUAGGCUUAACACAUGCAAGUCGAGGGGCAGCACAAGGUAGCUUGCUAUCUGGGUGGCGACCGGCGCACGGGUGCGUAACGCGUAUGCAACUUGCCCUAUACAGGAGGAUAACCCGUCGAAAGACGGACUAAUACUGCGUAUGCUCACAACUUGGCAUCAAGUGGUGAGGAAAGAAAUUCGGUAUAGGAUAGGCAUGCGUCCCAUUAGCUUGUUGGUGAGGUAACGGCUCACCAAGGCAACGAUGGGUAGGGGAACUGAGAGGUUUAUCCCCCACACUGGUACUGAGACACGGACCAGACUCCUACGGGAGGCAGCAGUGAGGAAUAUUGGUCAAUGGGCGCGAGCCUGAACCAGCCAAGUCGCGUGAAGGAUGACUGUCCUAUGGAUUGUAAACUUCUUUUAUACGGGAAUAACAAGAGUCACGUGUGACUCCCUGCAUGUACCGGAUGAAUAAGCAUCGGCUAACUCCGUG